ensembl:lncRNA mitochondrial fission factor homolog B-like
CAACAGGUGUCUGUUCAACAGUAACAGUUGCUGUCUAGAAAUGUUAAACUGCUUAUUCGAGAAUUGACGUCUAUCUAGGAGACUAGGUCAUGAAGGAACAAUCUUGAUGGCUGAGCUCUAACGUUAUCUGAACACACAUGGGUCAAUGACCGCUCACUUUGAAUAUAUUACAACCAGCAAGCAGCAGUUAUCUUGAGCAUUUGCUACUACAUUAUGGUUCUUUAAAAAAAAUGACUUACCAUGACUUUAUUUUGUACGCUAUUUCAGUCCGUGUGGUUGUUUUGCUCACGUAACGCAGCUUAACAUUUGAUGUUGUGCCAUGCGGUCAGUCUAAUUCCCUUUACUGGCUUUAGGCUAGUUAUGGCAUCUCCAGGGUAUUUUGGUGAUGGUCCUCCGAUGCGCGAGCGUGACCCGUACUUCACUGAGGUCAUCAGACAGAGGAUGCAAGUGCCCGAGCGGCUGAGGGUCGGUCCAGCGCCACAUGAGCCUGCAGAGCAAAGACAUGAAGAGCUACCUGCUGCCUACAGCAUGCACAUCCCAGACAGACUGGCCUUAACAGAUGCUUCUGAUCUGAGUCCACGACCUCUCUUCACUAAACACACUUCAUCAAUGUGGGACCUGCAGCAUGGGUCCUGGGACAGGGAGGCGUUCAUGAGAGAGCCUGUCCAGAGUCCACUGCGAAGGUCUUACAGUGACCAGGCCUUUGGUCGAACCCCACCUGGAACCCCCACACACUCCAGACAAACACUCCACUCCCAGUCUCCCCGCAGUAUUGGACGCCCACCUGUCGUGCAUACAGACCUGUCCCCACCAAAGCCCCCAGGACUCCCCUCCAUCCCACCCAACCUGCUGUCCCCACAGAGCAUGCUGCAGGCCGCCAAGGAGCUGGGCCAGCAGGCGUCUCAGAAACUCCUCCAGACAGUCACCAAAAAAUACUCCUCCAGGUUUGGUUACCCAGAAAACCAUCCCUCUCAGGCUGUGGAGGUUCAACCUGAUCAAAGCAGGACAAGUGCCUCGCAGGAGUUCUGGCUCGGUCCUGAAGAGGACACAGGUGCUGCUGUCGAGUUCAUGGUGCUCCGCAGACAGGUGGUGAAGAUGAGCAGGAGGAUAGCAGGGCUGGAGAGACAGAACACAGAGCACAGACAGACGGAGCUGGUGCUGUUCUCUAUGUUACUGUCUGCCUGUCUGAUCAACGGCUGGCUGUGGAUGCGCAGAUGACGGCUCACACUCCACAACACUGCACUAUACAGACAGCACUACAAGAGCAGCGGAGCUGUUUACUGGGAAGUACAGUACUGCACAUUUUUCUAUAGAGAUUUACGAAAUUUGUUCUCAUAAAAAUGAUGGUCAAUGGAUGGUUUAGAAACCACUCCUAUAGAAGACUCUGAACCUUCCACUCGGAUGUGUCACAUGAUCACGGUAGUGACAUGGGCCACUUUGCGUUACAAGUGAUUUGAGGAACUCAAGCGUUUUUCUCCUAGUGAGAGUUUCACUGAUGAUGUCAUUCAGUAAUGCAGUCCCUCUGGCUCUUUUGAUCAGACUAGUAGCUAGUUUUUUGUAUUUGAUUUAUUCUGCAAAUUAAGUAAAUGCCGAGAUUUUCUGCAUGCUUUAUGAAAGUAUAAAUAUUAAUGUUUAUAUGUAUAUUUCCUUUUUUUCUUCCAGUUAGGCAUUUGAAUAGCCUUCAUCCUUUUUAACUCAUUUCCCCAGCCUGAUGUAUGAUGAAUAUUUAAAAUAAUAAAAAUUGUAAUUAGUCUCAGAUAUCUCGUUCUCUCAAUGUCAACAUUAAAUUAGCAAAAUUUGCAUUCAGAUGAUGCCUGACAAAGAACAACUAAACACUGCAAAUGGAUCCGUUUAUUAAAAAAUUAAAUUAACCAAGGAAAAAGUUAUUGAAACGCUUUAGACUAUAAACCAAAUGAAAACUGCAAAGCCUUAUACAAAAUCUACAUGAGAUAAGAUAGGAAAUAAUGAACAGGAAUACAAUUUAAUUCAAAUGAAUCAUCAUUGUACAGUAAUAACAUUGUCAAGCAGCAACUAGAGUGACAUUUUGUAAUGAAACAAAUACUAGUGAAAUGAGCGUAAAAACAUUGAUUGGGACACAAGGGUACAUACUAUACAAAAUAAUACAAAAACACAUUCUCAUAAUUCGUCCUGAGAUGGACCGACACAUUCUUCUUUAGAAACUAUGAAGUAUCAAAUGUAGCAAGACCAUCAAGAUUAGUUUAGAUAAGACUGAGGCUUCAGGUGGAACAAACUGAUAAACGUGGUAAUGAAAUGUUGACUUGCUUGACCAGAUUAGCCUCAAAAUCACUGACCAGUACGGUUAAACUUUAACUGCAUGUAGACCAAUUUAAAGCAUUACAAUAGGGACCGUUUCAGUUUGCAUUCAGGGAACUGUAUUUGAAAUGUAAUGAGCUUGUUUAUCAGUAUUUUGUACCACCUUUGUCUCAGUCCACUCUUUGGUCCAUUGUCUUAGUUUGUGCCCAAAUUAGAUUAGAGCUCUUCAAACUUGCUGAAAGUGUCCUAAAUACACAGCUGUUGAGCAUUGACAAUGGGUGAUCUAACAAUGCUGGAAAUGUUUCUUUCAGAUCUUAUCUAAAAAAGAAAGACAGGAAGGAAGAAAAAAUAACUAGUUUCUAUCUCUCGAGCGAAUGAGAAAAGACUGAUUGUGUACAAAAUGUCAAGUACCGACGCACACAAUGUGCUUAACUGAGACCGACUGUGCUCAAAUACUUGAUUACUUGCAAAUGAAUUUGGUCCAAGUUUCAAAAAAAAAAAAAAAUCAAAUCAAAUGCUAUGAAAUCAAAUAUUUAGGGCAAAUAUAUAUAAAAAAAAAGGCAUUUAGGGCUCAGAUGAUUGGCUCAAAACAAGACAUUUCCUGCACCAGCUGACCCCUUAAAGGGAUAGUUCACCCAAAAAUGAAAAUUCUGUCAUUAAUUACUCACCCUCAUGUCGUUCCAAACCCGUAAGA